rnacentral:tRNA from 1 species
GGGUGUGUGGCGCAGUGGUAGCGCAGUUGACUCUUAAUCAAUUGGUCGUGGGUUCGACCCCCACCACACCCACCA